AUCAAACUGACGAGUCUCAAAUAGGAUGAAACACUCGUCCUAGAU
rfam:Schistosoma mansoni, Puerto Rico, WGS project CABG01000000 data, contig: 0262